UGGAGACAACGAGGAGGCCUGGUCACACU
rnacentral:piRNA from 1 species